rnacentral:rRNA from 1 species
CGGCGGACGUCGUGCGGACUGCUCGCAGUGCGCGCGUCGCUUCGCUUCGCGGGGGCGCCCGCGGUCGUAGGCGUGCCGAGGGCGUUGGCGGUCGAAUGGCCUCAUCCGACCCGUCUUGAAACACGGACCAAGGAGUCUAGCAGGCGUGCGAGUCCCGGGGUGUGGAAACCCGUCGGCGCAAUGAAAGUGAACGUUGGGGUGAGAGCCGUGGUCGGGCGCGGCGGCGGCGCAUCAUCGACCGACCUCGUCUGCUCCCAGAGAGGUUUGAGUAGGAGCACGCGUGCUGGGACCCGAAAGAUGGUGAACUAUGCCCGAAUAGGGUGAAGCCAGAGGAAACUCUGG